ACGUACGCUGGCGGCACGCCUAACACAUGCAAGUCGUGCGAGAAAGUAUCUUCGGAUAUAAGUAAAGCGGCGGACGGGUGAGUAACGCGUAGGAAUCUACCUAGUAGAAGGGGAUAGCCCGAGGAAACUCGGAUUAAUACCGUAUACCUCCUUCGGGAGAAAGAAGGCCUCUCUUUGAAGCUUUCGCUACUAGAUGAGCCUGCGUAAGAUUAGCUUGUUGGUGAGGUAAAGGCUCACCAAGGCUACGAUCAAUAGCUGAUUUGAGAGGAUGAUCAGCCACAUUGGGACUGAGACACGGCCCAAACUCCUACGGGAGGCAGCAGUGGGGAAUCUUGC
rnacentral:rRNA from 1 species